rnacentral:rRNA from 1 species
UACGGAAGGCAGCAGUGGGGAAUAUUGGACAAUGGGCGAAAGCCUGAUCCAGCCACGCCGCAUGAGUGAAGAGGGCCUUCGGGUUGUAAAGCUCUUUUAGUGAGAAAGAUAAUGACGGUACUCACAGAAGAAGUCCUGGCUAACUCCGUGCCAGCAGCCGCGGUAAUACGGAGAGGGCUAGCGUUAUUCGGAAUUAUUGGGCGUAAAGAGCGCGUAGGCUGAUUAGUAAGUUAAAAGUGAAAUCCCAAAGCUUAACUUUGGAAUUGCUUUUUAAAACUGCUAGUCUAGAGAUUUGAAAGAGGAUAGAGGAAUUCCUAGUGUAGAGGUGAAAUUCGUAAAUAUUAGGAGGAACACCAGUGGCGAAGGCGUCUAUCUGGUUCAAAUCUGACGCUGAGGCGCGAAGGGCGUGGGGAGCAAACAGGGAUUAGAUACC